AUGUACCCUGUCAAAAAAAUCCAUUUAUUGGUGGGCUGAGCUUUGGAGGAUAAUUUUCUGCAGCACGAAUUAUUACUCUAUGUCUGGUUUUUAAAUAAUGAAUCCAUGUAUCUGAAGCUGAUUUAUUAUAUUACAUAUUUUUAUCUUCUCGCGCCAUACCAGCCGACUUUUGGCGCUAAUUUUCUUAGUUCUCAAAAUAACUUUAAAAAUUGCAGCGGUUUGUAUUUACAAACAAUUUGCUACAGCCGUUAGUCUCGUAAAAUGUAAUCAAUUACAAAUAAUUAGUUAUAAAAAAUAUAAAAAAUUACUGGAAUAAAAAAAAAUAAAUUAUUUACUUAAAAGUUAUCGAGUAUGUUGUUUUUUCCGUGUUGUUUCUCGCAUUUGGGCGGCUAUAUCAACCCCUUUGAAAAAAAAAUUGAUCAUUACACUGCAGAAUCUCAAAUUAUAAAGAGCUGGUCAUCAAGACCUGUAAUUAUUGGUCUGUCGUUAACAGGUGUUUUGGUUGGAUUAUAUUAUUAUUUGUGUAAAAAAUUUUUUUUCAGGAUGAUGAUUCUGAAGAUCUAGUACGACAAAACAUAACUGUUGAAGUACGAGUACCCAGAGCGAAAGUACCAGCAUUAAUAGGUUUAGAUGGAACAAUAAUUAAAGACAUCGAGCAGAAAAGUUCAACAAGAAUAAGAUUUUCCGAAGAUAAUGUUGAUAAUCCAGAGAGAAUCUGCUCCAUAACGGGAACAUCCGAGUGUGUAGAACUUGCAGAAACUCUGAUUGUUAAUACCAUCGCAAAUAAGCCGCUCAUUGUAACUUACGAAAUGUUUAUAUCUCAGAAAAUAAAUUCGAUUCUUCUGGCAGAGCGGGAAGAAGUCAUGAACACGAUACGGUCGAUAUCUAACGCCAAGUUGAGUAUAGUAUAUUUCCAUAAUGGAGAUAAGUAUGUUGAUAUUGUGGGAACUCCUGAGCAAAUCGAGUGCGCUGUUUAUCAUAUUGAGGAGCUUGUCAAAGAAUCCAAAGACACGCAAGAAAAACUUGAAGUUAGUCAUACCUCACGAUCUCUACAAGGCAGAGUUUCUCCUAGACUUGCAACCUGCAGCCACCCAGGCUGCUGAAAUAAACUUCUUACUUCUUAAACAUCUAUUUAGAUACAAGUCAUUAAUAAAUAAUCGAAAAAAAAAAAAAAAUAAUUAUAUGAAAAAGAAAUAUAUAAAUAAAAAUAUUUAUUAUAAAAUAUGUCUAUAAAAAAAACCUUAAAAAAAUCCCUGUAUUAAAAUAU